GAUGAACGCUGGCGGCGUGCCUAACACAUGCAAGUCGAACGAAGCACCUUACCUGAUUCUUCGGAUGAAAGUUUGGUGACUGAGUGGCGGACGGGUGAGUAACGCGUGGGUAACCUGCCCUGUACAGGGGGAUAACAGCUGGAAACGGCUGCUAAUACCGCAUAAGCGCACGAGGAGACAUCUCCUUGUGUGAAAAACUCCGGUGGUACAGGAUGGGCCCGCGUCUGAUUAGCUGGUUGGCAGGGUAACGGCCUACCAAGGCAACGAUCAGUAGCCGGUCUGAGAGGAUGAACGGCCACAUUGGAACUGAGACACGGUCCAAACUCCUACGGGAGGCAGCAGUGGGGAAUAUUGCACAAUGGGGGAAACCCUGAUGCAGCAACGCCGCGUGAGUGAAGAAGUAUUUCGGUAUGUAAAGCCCUAUCAGCAGGGAAGAUAAUGACGGUACCUGACUAAGAAGCUCCGGCUAAAUACGUG
rnacentral:rRNA from 1 species